rnacentral:rRNA from 1 species
UACAGGGGGGGCAAGCGUUGUUCGGAAUUACUGGGCGUAAAGGGUUCGUAGGUGGCCAACUAAGUCAUACGUGAAAUCCCUCAGCUUAACUGGGGAACUGCGCCUGAUACUGGUUGGCUUGAGUGCAGGAGAGGAACGCGGAAUUCCAGGUGUGAGCGGUGAAAUGCGUAGAUAUCUGGAGGAACACCGGUGGCGAAGGCGGCGUUCUGGACUGCAACUGACACUGAGGAACGAAAGCCAGGGGAGCAAACGGG